CGCCGGAGGCGGCCGGUGCGCCGGUUGGACAAUGUGGCCAUUGUUCGCGGAGCCGCGAACCAGGCCGGCGGGCAGGUUUCCGAGCUGGGCUGGAGGAAGAGAGAUACUUAUGUGUGUCCCGGGGAAGGCCUAGGCAGGCACUCAACUGAUUUGCAGCGAAGAAAACAUAAUCAAUAAGCCCCGACAAAAGUGAAUGUGUGAGAAAGGCCAGAGAAUGGAAAAGCGAGAUAAAAGUGAUAUCAGAUCGCAGAUUUCAGCAGCAGAUGACGAGCUGGGGGCUGAAGAAGAAUCUCAAUGGACCAUCACCCUUUCGCGGCUUUCCUUCCCUUUGCUGCAGCUCUACAUUCAGGACAAUAGUAAAUGCACUGAAACUUUUUUCUUAUGCUAAUGCAUGAAACCGGGCACUCACAGUUAAAACACACUUCCCAGCAACCUGGUUGUUUUUUGUUUUUGUUUUUGUUUUUUUAGCAACACGCUUGCACAGACCUAAAACCACAGUAACGUAUUCAGUUUAAAGCAAAAUCUCAAAAAAGUGUAAGAUGCACUCUUGGGUCAUGUCUUAGAUGACUUAUUUUCUGCCCUCUGUGAGUUUUUCAAGAAACCAGAACACACGCAGGAUUACCGAGGAUGCUUUUGUCGGGGAAGAAAUGGGGAGAAGCAAGAGAGUAAAACCGAAGAAAGGACGCUGUUCCUGUAGGUGCAUUUUCUCGGGGUUUUUCCACAUGGCUUUGUAGGUGAAGAGUGUUUCCUGCCACCCUCAAAAUCUAAAAACAAUGACCUGUGAUCUGCUUUUUUUGAAUCUUUUAAUCACCCACAGCAA